UUGAGUAAUGAGACCACUUUCAUAUUUUGGUAUGUGUAAUGGGAGAUAUUUUUGAUGGGUUUAUAUGUAGUUUGGGGUUUACGUAUUAUACCCUGCAUAGUUUAGUCUCUAUUAGGUUUAUAUCUGGCAGAA